rnacentral:rRNA from 2 species
AGGUUAAGCUAGAAAGGGCGCACGGUGGAUGCCUUGGCACUAGGAGCCGAUGAAGGACGGGGCAAACGCCGAAACGCUCCGGGGAGCUGUAAGCAAGCGUGGAUCCGGAGAUGUCCGAAUGGGGGAACCCACUGCUCGUAAUGGGGCAGUAUCCAUGCCUGAAUCCAUAGGGCAUGGAGGGCACACCCGGGGAACUGAAACAUCUUAGUACCCGGAGGAGAAGAAAGCAAACGCGAUUCCCCGAGUAGCGGCGAGCGAAACGGGAACAGCCCAAACCAAGAGGCGUGUCCUCUUGGGGUUGUAGGACCGCUCAUGGUGGGAGUGAGAAAGGGACGGGGUAGACGAACCGGUCUGGAACGGCCGGCCAGAGAAGGUGAGAGCCCUGUAGUCGAAACUUCGUUCCCUCCCGAGCGGAUCCUGAGUACGGCGGGACACGAGGAAUCCCGUCGGAAGCAGGGAGGACCAUCUCCCAAGGCUAAAUACUCCCUAGUGACCGAUAGUGAACCAGUACCGUGAGGGAAAGGUGAAAAGCACCCCGGGAGGGGAGUGAAAGAGAACCUGAAACCGUGUGCCUACAAGUAGUCAGAGCCCGUUGAUGGGUGAUGGCGUGCCUUUUGUAGAAUGAACCGGCGAGUGACGAUGGCGUGCGAGGUUAAGCCGAAGAGGCGGAGCCGCAGCGAAAGCGAGUCUGAACAGGGCGAAAAGUACGUCGUCGUCGACCCGAAACCAGGUGAUCUACCCAUGUCCAGGGUGAAGGCCGGGUAACACCGGCUGGAGGCCCGAACCCACGCACGUUGAAAAGUGCGGGGAUGAGGUGUGGGUAGGGGUGAAAUGCCAAUCGAACUUGGAGAUAGCUGGUUCUCCCCGAAAUAGCUUUAGGGCUAGCCUCGGGCUUGAGAGUGUUGGAGGUAGAGCACUGAUUGGGCUAGGGGCCCAAACCGGGUUACCGAACCCAGUCAAACUCCGAAUGCCAACGACUUAUGCCCGGGAGUCAGACUACGAGUGAUAAGAUCCGUGGUCGAGAGGGGAACAGCCCAGACCGCCAGCUAAGGCCCCCAAGUGCACGUUCAGUGGAAAAGGAUGUGGAGUUGCCAAGACAACCAGGAUGUUGGCUUAGAAGCAGCCACCAUUUAAAGAGUGCGUAAUAGCUCACUGGUCGAGUGACUCUGCGCCGAAAAUGUACCGGGGCUAAACGUGCCGCCGAAGCUGCGGGAUGACCGUUGGUCAUCGGUAGGGGAGCGUUCUAAGGGCAGAGAAGCCAGACCGGAAGGACUGGUGGAGCGCUUAGAAGUGAGAAUGCCGGUAUGAGUAGCGAAAACAGAGGUGAGAAUCCUCUGCGCCGAAAGCCUAAGGGUUCCUGAGGAAGGUUCGUCCGCUCAGGGUUAGUCGGGACCUAAGCCGAGGCCGAAAGGCGUAGGUGAUGGACAACAGGUUGAGAUUCCUGUACCACCUUCUUCCCGUUUGAGCGAUGGGGGGACGCAGGAGGAUAGGGCGAGCAGGCGGCUGGAAGAGCCUGUCCAAGCCGUGAGGCUGAUCCGCAGGCAAAUCCGCGGAUUGGAAGGCCGAGCGGUGACGGCGACGGAGUCAUCCGGAAGUCCCCGAUUUCACACUGCCAAGAAAAGCCUCUAGCGAGGGAAGAGGUGCCCGUACCGCAAACCGACACAGGUAGGCGAGGAGAGAAUCCUAAGGCGCGCGGGAGAACUCUCGUUAAGGAACUCGGCAAAAUGACCCCGUAACUUCGGGAGAAGGGGUGCUCUUUGGGGUGAAGAGCCCUGAAGAGCCGCAGUGAAAAGGCCCAAGCGACUGUUUAUCAAAAACACAGGUCUCUGCGAAGCCGAAAGGCGACGUAUAGGGGCUGACACCUGCCCGGUGCUGGAAGGUUAAGGGGAGCGCUUAGCGGAAGCGAAGGUGCGAACCGAAGCCCCAGUAAACGGCGGCCGUAACUAUAACGGUCCUAAGGUAGCGAAAUUCCUUGUCGGGUAAGUUCCGACCCGCACGAAAGGUGUAACGACUUGGGCGCUGUCUCAACGAGAGACCCGGUGAAAUUAUACUACCUGUGAAGAUGCAGGUUACCCGCGACAGGACGGAAAGACCCCGUGGAGCUUUACUGCAGCCUGAUAUGGAAUUUUGGUAUCGCUUGUACAGGAUAGGUGGGAGCCUGGGAAGCCGGAGCGCCAGCUUCGGUGGAGGCGGCGGUGGGAUACCACCCUGGCGGUAUUGAAAUUCUAACCCGCACCCCUUAGCGGGGUGGGAGACAGUGUCAGGCGGGCAGUUUGACUGGGGCGGUCGCCUCCCAAAAGGUAACGGAGGCGCCCAAAGGUUCCCUCAGAAUGGUUGGAAAUCAUUCGGAGAGUGCAAAGGCACAAGGGAGCUUGACUGCGAGACGGACAGGUCGAGCAGGGACGAAAGUCGGGCUUAGUGAUCCGGUGGUUCCGCAUGGAAGGGCCAUCGCUCAACGGAUAAAAGCUACCCCGGGGAUAACAGGCUGAUCUCCCCCAAGAGUCCACAUCGACGGGGAGGUUUGGCACCUCGAUGUCGGCUCAUCGCAUCCUGGGGCUGUAGUCGGUCCCAAGGGUUGGGCUGUUCGCCCAUUAAAGCGGUACGCGAGCUGGGUUCAGAACGUCGUGAGACAGUUCGGUCCCUAUCCGUCGCGGGCGGAGGAAAUUUGAGAGGAGCUGUCCUUAGUACGAGAGGACCGGGAUGGACGCACCGCUGGUGUACCAGUUGUCCCGCCAGGGGCACCGCUGGGUAGCUAUGUGCGGACGGGAUAAGCGCUGAAAGCAUCUAAGCGUGAAGCCCCCCUCAAGAUGAGAUUUCCCACCGCGUUAGGCGGGUAAGAUCCCUCGAAGAUGACGAGGUCGAUAGGUCCGAGGUGGAAGCGUGGCGACACGUGGAGCUGACGGAUACUAAUCGAUCGAGGGCUUAACCUAG